rnacentral:rRNA from 1 species
GUCUAUGGACAUACCACUUUGAAUGUACCCAGUCUCAUCUAACCUCAGAAGCUAAGCAGGGUCGGACUUAGUUAGUACUUGGGUGGGGAACCUCUGUGAAAUUAGAUUUUAAGCAUU